GGCCCUUUAGCUUUUAACAGUCUAUAUUUAUAUAAGCUAUGGCUCUUAUUCUUUUUUUCCUGUGAUCAUAAAAGUUGUUAAAGCGGCAAAUUUAGUUUAACAAUGAAAAGCAGUAGUUUGGUAGCCAUAAACUAUUAUGAAAGUUAUUUUUAUUUCCUUAUGUGGUCAUGUGCCAUCAUUUAUUCUGUAUAUCAAUUUUAUUUGGCAAACAAUUAUUUCGAUGACUAUUAUGAUGUGUAUGGUGAUUUUGAAUCUGGAUGGGCUUGGAUUGGAAAGAAACGAGACUCCUCUGAUCAAGAGUGGCUUGUAUGGCUUACAUUAGUGAAUAGACUAAUACCUUACACUUUUAUUCAUCAUUUUGUCAGUCAAAUUAUUAAAGUCAAUAGCAACAGUACGACGUUAUGCUGCUGGUAUAUUUUAUCGUCAAUAAUGUUUCUCUAUUACUAUUUCGGUAUGUUAGGUUCUUUAUGUGCAGUACUACAGCCUAUUUGUUUACAUAUACUAACGUGUGUCUGCACUAAGAAUGCAGCAUGGAUUAUACAUAUUUUAUAUUUAUUUAUAAUACAUUUAUUAAAAAUACCGAAUGGCGCUUUUCAAAGCUGGUUGGAAAUUACCGAUGAGAAACAUUAUGUUUUAACACUUAUAUUAUGUUGGAUACAUUUAAAAAGUAUCAGUCAUAAUAUGGAUGCAUAUAGCAUUGAUGAUCAAUUCACCAGUUCAGAUAACUUUAUUCAGAAAUUAGCAUAUUGCUUAUAUUUGCCUACAUUGUUUUUAGGACCUCUUAUUUUGUAUCAUGAAUUCGUAGAAUCCAUUAAUCAAUCACAUCAGUAUUGGAAUUAUCAGAAGCUUUUAACUUUUCUAUUGAAUUUAAUUAGGUACAUGUUUUGGUUGUACUUCACUGAAUUAUUGUUGCAUUUUAUAUAUAUAAAUGCUAUACAGUAUCAUUCGCAGGUUGUACAAAAUAUGAAUUCUUGGGCAUUAUAUGGCUUAGGAUAUUGUAUGGGACAAUUUUUUUUAAACAAAUAUGUUAUAAUUUAUGGAACGUGCAGUAGCUUAUGUCAUUUAGAUAAUAUAAAAGCACCAUCACAACCUAAAUGCAUAGCUAGAAUACAUUUAUAUUCUGAUAUGUGGAAACAUUUUGAUAGAGGAUUAUAUAAAUUUCUUAUAAGAUAUAUCUAUGUUCCUAUACAAAAAUCAAAUAGAUAUUUUGGAAAACUCUUUGCAUCAUUUUUAUGUUUCACAUUCGUCUUUAUAUGGCAUGGAAUACAAUUAAACAUAUUUAUUUGGACGCUGCUCAAUUUUAUAGGAAUAAUGAUUGAAAAUAUAGGAGUAUGGAUUGGCAAAAGUGAACGAUAUCUUAAAAUACAGAAUACAUAUUUAUCUUCAGAAAAUACUAAAAGAUUUCAUUGCAUAUUAGCGAGUCCUCUUUUAGCUAUGUCAGCUAUAUCUAAUUUUUAUUUUUUGGGAGGACAAGAAAUUGGAAAUAUCUUUGCACAGAAUAUAUUAUAUGGAUCCUGGAAAAGUUUAUUUAUUCUACUUUUCUUUCUUUAUUGCUGCUGUCACGUUUCUAUUGAUAUUAAAAGCUGGGAAUUACGUCAAAAGAUGAUGCAGUAAUUCGAAAAGAUUUAAAUUGAACAAAAAAUGAUACAAGAAUACCAUAUAAAAAGGAGUAUGAACAGAGUAGGGAAGUAAUGCGUUACUUGUAACGCCGUUACCAUUACAAUUUUUUGCUAACAAACUUGUAGCGGCGCGGUGGUACUUUUUUUCUUGUAACAGUAAUAGUAAUGUAACGAUUUUUCAAUAACCAUAACAAAUUUAACAGUUACUUUUAUCGGUACUUUUUAUAUUUUAGAAUACUUAUAACAUAAUUUUCGUAUAUUUAGUUUUCAUUUUUCAACUAAUAUUUUUUGGCUAAUAUUCGUGUUGCGUAGAAUAAGAUAAUCGUGCACGAAGCAAGUUUGAGCGUGUUCAGACAUGUCUCACAUAUGUGGUCGUCCGAUGUAGCGCAAAUUCAUCUGUUUCCGACAGUCAGUCAGAUAGGAGGCCCACGAAGUCACUUAGAGAUUCGUUGUCGACGGAGUGGUGGGAUUUUGAGAUCCUCCGAAGAUUAUUAGGGCAGAAUGGCUGACUUAUAACCUUAAAACAAGUUUUAUGACUUAAGUUUUGUCUUUAGAAACGCACAAUAACUGUCUUGUGUCUCAAGUCUUUAAAUAAAGGAAAUCGUUCUAUCUGUGACUUGUAAGAUUAAUACAAUACUGUGUUAUUAUAGCUUUUAUUAUGAUUAUAUAAUUACUACUACACUUAAUUAUUUUAAUUAUAUAAGAUAUUCAUAUUAUAAGUAUAUAUCGUUAUAUAAAAAAUAUAAGUGUUAACAUUUUUAGGAAAGAGAUAAGAUGAGACUUAGUUUAGGCGAAUUAACAAGAAUAGAAUUAAUAUUAAAAUAUUAAUAUUAUUUAUUAUUACAUAACAUUAUGUGUGCGUAUGUAUGUACAUACAUACAUUAAUAUAUUAUAAUAAUAUAUAAAAUUAAAUAGAUUUUACAUGAAAAGUUGUAAAUUUUAAGUAUUAAAUGAUGGAAAAUAAAAUAUUUUGGUCAAUUUAUUCAUGUACGUCAAUAUGUGUUGCUUGUUCUUUGAGGACAAGCUGCUUUUCUUGUUUUUACUGUCCGUGAACUUGCUGAACCAGCAGAGUCAGCUCUCGAUGUGGAUGUUCCUACUGACGGGCGUCGUCGGUUUCGAAAAUUCUUUCGCCAAUCCCGUCGAAACAUUCUUGAAUAAUACAAAUUAACAUGCUAACAUUAAAGCAAACAGUCUCUAUUAAAAAAAUGUAUUAAAUUUCUUUAUAAAAAUUAAUAAAAAUUUUUCGCAAAUUUGAUUUGACAAAUCUUAAUUUUUAAGUACAUACAUUAAAUAAAUCUUAAGCAUAGAACUUAGGUUAGGUUAUAUUCAUUUAUUGAAAUAUAUUUCAAUAUAUAAAACAUAUUUCACGUUGUACAUAUUUCAAAAAAUUAAAUAUGAUUACAUAUAUUUAUAAAUUAUUUGUUUAAAGUAAACUUGAUAAUUUCAUGUUUACAUAUGCAAUAUUUUUCCCAACGAUUAACACUUUAACACUAUUCAACACCCCUGAGACACAAGAUACAAAACAGUUAUUGUGCGUUACUAAAGACAAAAACUUAAGUCAUAAAACUUAUUUUAAAUUUAUAAGUCAGCCAUUCUGUUCCUGCUCUUAGCGUUUUUUAUUGGGAAAACUAGUGCGCACUGACAAGGAGAUGCUAUGAACGCAUCCAGAAAUAAUUAGUCGAUUCGACGUCGAUGUGUCGAUAAAUGGUCGAUGGUCGAAAAUUAGUCGAUAUUUUUAUCAAUUUUUACUUUGUCAUAAAAAUUGUUUAUUGAAUAAUUGCAACUAUUUUUAUAAAAUUUAUUUGUGGGAACAAUAAUUGAGCAAUCUAUUUGAUGUAUGUUAAUUUAGCAUUAUGUAGUUGUAAUGUUUAUAUGAGAUAGUUGCGUUUAAUCGCUUAUUGAUUUGAUACCACAUUUUUUCCUUGUAUAAUAUCCUAAAUAAAAAAUAAAAAAGUUAGUGAAAAUCUAUGAAGUGCGUUUUUGGUUGCAUUUAAGGCUCCUGAGUACUCACCGCGGCCAUAUUGAAAUCGUGACAUUAGAAGUGAGAAAUUGCGUGAAAUGACAGGUAAUUUUGUCAAACAUGCCAUUUGUAAAUAAAGCCAAUUCGAAUAAAACAGACUAAUCAGAUGGCUUUAAAACACUUCUAAAUAUCGGUUACGACUAUCCUUUUAUCGCCUAGCAGUAAAUAGUCGUAAAAAGCACGUGCGAUGGGGUUAAGUGUUGGUGCGUGGUGUAUGCAACCGCUCGAAACACGGUCUGUUUGAGCUUUAUGUGAUUUACUGACAUUUAGACUGUUAUUAGUCUGAUGUCAUAGGCCCAUUAAAAAAAAGUCUUUUUGGGUUGAGUGCGUACCAGUGAGAAUUACACUCACUGGUACGCGGUCAAAAAACGUGAAUAGGAUUAAAGAAGGGCUUUAGUGGUGAGACAUUGUUAAUCAGUGAGAAAUAUUAUCAAAUUAUCCAAAGUAAUGUAGAUAAGUUGAAUUCUGUAAUAAUAUAUGAUAGAGAUUUUAAUUAUAGUUAUGCUAACCUUUAAAAUGAUGGAGAGAGUGAUCAUUUGUUAAAACUGAAUGGAAAAAUUGUUGAGAGAUCAGUACAGUUAAUACGAGUUGCUGUAGGUAUUCACAUCGAUGUCGAUAAGGUUAUUGAAAUGUACAUUUUUUUUUGUCGAAACAGUAUUUCGUACAUGAUAUACAGACAAUAAAUACUGCAUGUGUUGUUACGCAAAUGGCUAGGUGAUUUUACUUUUGUGUUUAAGGAUAGGAUGAAAGAGCACGAGAGAAAAAAGUAGUUUAACAGAAAACAACGUGUAAUUCAAAGCACAAAAAAAAUGUAUAUAUAAAAGACUAAUUAAUAAAGCGGAUAUAGACACCGAAGGAGUCUAAUGGCCUGAGUAUAGUAAGCUACGUCGGCACGGAAACUUGACGCGAACUCGACGCGAUGUUCGGUACCGUACGAUUCGAAGCGGCGAUGAGACUCAGUGAUCUGGCCGAAAGCGCAGAAAAGCCGCGCUUAUAAUGGGUUGGUUGACCCUCAGAAUAAAAGCGCACCAAUUUUGUGAAAAACAAUAUUUGCGCUUCUCAUUCCCUGCUUGGCUGUGUUGCUAGGCCCUUCGAACGAGGACAAGAAGCGCGUUCUGUUGCCGUUUGAGUGACUAUUUACCACCACUGUUUUGAUUCUCAAGAACAGUUUGCUGAGUUUCGUCUAUCUCGCGAAAACACGAUUUAACGCGCGUGCCGCGUGAUCGUAUCCGCAACAUUUUGAUAACAACUCAUUUUUAUUGACAAAAAAAUGUUUGGUGAUAGCAUAGAUGUAAUAUUGGAUACAUUAGAACAAUUCGCUGUUUGUUUUUUUUUCAUCAUAAUGGCGUAGUAAAUUUUAAUGUGCAUUGCAAAGAAUAUGCCUAUAAGAAGCACAGAAGGUUUGUCAGAUGGAUUGAUGCCUAUGUUGAAAGCGUACAAUACAUCCAUUGCGACUGUCUCCAAAAAGGACAAAAAUGAAGAACCAAUUACUGUAUAUUUAGAACUAUGAGGCAUGCUGAUAUCUUUGAAUUCUUGGAUCUCAAAAAGAUUAUUUAUUAUUAUUUUUUAUUGUUAUUUCUUUUUGCACGAUUCUUAAAUACAUAGAAAAAUAUAUUUUAAACAAUUAUUUUGUAGGCGAGGAGCAGUUCUUAGAGCAUGUGUUAUGAGUUGUAUGUGGACUCCAGAUUUAUUCAUGAAACGCGUUUAUGAUGAUGAUGAUAUAUCUAACCUAAUGUGUCCGCAUGAGUGCCCUGGAUUAAUUGAAGCUUGGGGUGAUGAAUUUGAAGCUUUGUAUACCAAGUAAUUGGUAUG